rnacentral:sRNA from 1 species
ACUUCCGGGUCGGACGGCGCUAGCUGCAGCAUCGGAGUGUGGCAGUGCUGGGCUGGCCGGCGGGCUGGGCUGCGGCCCGCGCGCGGCCGGCGAUGCAGGGGGGCAACUCCGGGGUCCGCAAGCGCGAAGAGGAGGGCGACGGGGCUGGGGCUGUGGCUGCGCCGCCGGCCAUCGACUUUCCCGCCGAGGGCCCGGACCCCAAAUAUGACGAAUCUGAUGUUCCAGCAGAACUCCAGGUGUUAAAAGAACCCCUACAACAGCCAACCUUCCCUUUUGCAGUUGCAAACCAACUCUUGUUGGUUUCUUUGCUGGAGCACUUGAGCCAUGUGCAUGAACCAAACCCACUUCGUUCAAGACAGGUGUUUAAGUUACUUUGCCAGACGUUUAUCAAAAUGGGGCUGCUGUCUUCUUUCACUUGUAGUGACGAGUUUAGCUCAUUGAGACUACAUCACAACAGAGCUAUUACUCACUUAAUGAGGUCUGCUAAAGAGAGAGUUCGUCAGGUAAGCCCUAAAAAAUAUACUUUAAUUUUAUGAUAAUUAUAUUUUAAAGCACUGUGAAAUUCUGAUUAUAAAACAAGUUUUUAAAAGUAUAAACUCUAGGCCAGGA